GAUGAAGAACGUAGCGAAAUGCGAUAAGUAAUGUGAAUUGCAGAAUUCAGUGAAUCAUCGAAUCUUUGAACGCACAUUGCGCCCGCCAGUAUUCUGGCGGGCAUGCCUGUUCGAGCGUCAUUUCAACCAUCAAGCCCCCGGCUUGUGUUGGGGACCUGCGGCUGCCGCAGGCCCUGAAAACCAGUGGCGGGCUCGCUGUCACACCGAGCGUAGUAGAUUUUCAUCUCGCUCAGGGCGUGCUGCGGGUUCCGGACGUAAAAAGCCUUAUUUACCCAAGGUUGACCUCGGAUCAGGUAGGAAGACCCGCUGAACUUAAGCAUAUCAAUAAGCGGAGGA
rnacentral:misc_RNA from 1 species